AACGAACGCUGGCGGCAGGCUUAACACAUGCAAGUCGAACGGCUGUAGCAAUACAGCAGUGGCAGACGGGUGAGUAACACGUGGGAACCUUCCUAGGGGUACGGAACAACUCAGGGAAACUUGAGCUAAUACCGUAUACGUCCGUGAGGAGAAAGUUUUAACGCCCCUAGACGGGCCCGCGUAGGAUUAGGUAGUUGGUGAGGUAACGGCUCACCAAGCCUACGAUCCUUAGCUGAUCUGAGAGGAUGAUCAGCCACACUGGGACUGAGACACGGCCCAGACUCCUACGGGAGGCAGCAGUGGGGAAUCUUGGACAAUGGGCGCAAGCCUGAUCCAGCCAUGCCGCGUGAGUGAAGAAGGCCUU
rnacentral:rRNA from 1 species